UCAGAGGGAGGUAGAAUNCCACGUGUAGCAGUGAAAUGCGUAGAGAUGUGGAGGAAUACNGAUGGCGAAGGCAGCCUCCUGGGAUAACACUGACGUUCAUGCCCGAAAGCGUGGGUAGCAAACAGGAUUAGAUACCCUGGUAGUNCACGCCCUAAACGAUGUCGAUUAGCUGUUGGGCAGCAUGACUGCUUAGUAGCGAAGCUAACGCGUGAAAUCGACCGCCUGGGGAGUACGGUCGCAAGAUUAAAACUCAAAGGAAUUGACGGGGACCCGCACAAGCGGUGGAUGAUGUGGAUUAAUUCGAUGCAACGCGAAGAACCUUACCUGGUCUUGACAUGUACGGAACCCUCCAGAGACGGAGGGGUGCCUUCGGGAGCCGUAACACAGGUGCUGCAUGGCUGUCGUCAGCUCGUGUCGUGAGAUGUUGGGUUAAGUCCCGCAACGAGCGCAACCCUUGUCAUUAGUUGCCAUCAUUAAGUUGGGCACUCUAAUGAGACUGCCGGUGACAAGCCGGAGGAAGGUGGGGAUGACGUCAAGUCCUCAUGGCCCUUAUGACCAGGGCUUCACACGUCAUACAAUGGUCGGUACAGAGGGUAGCCAAGCCGCGAGGUGGAGCCAAUCUCACAAAACCGAUCGUAGUCCGGAUUGCACUCUGCAACUCGAGUGCAUGAAGUCGGAAUCGCUAGUAAUCGCAGGUCAGCAUACUGCGGUGAAUACGUUCCCGGGUCUUGUACACACCGCCCGUCACACCAUGGGAGUGGGGGAUACCAGAA
rnacentral:rRNA from 1 species